rnacentral:rRNA from 1 species
CCUACGGGAGGCAGCAGUGAGGAAUAUUGGUCAAUGGGCGAGAGCCUGAACCAGCCAAGUCGCGUGAGGGAGUACUGCCCUAUGGGUUGUAAACCUCUUUUGUCGGGGAGCAAAAGCCGGACGUGUCCGGCUGUGAGAGUACCCGAAGAAAAAGCAUCGGCUAACUCCGUGCCAGCAGCCGCGGUAAUACGGAGGAUGCGAGCGUUAUCCGGAUUUAUUGGGUUUAAAGGGUGCGCAGGCGGAUUUUUAAGUCAGCGGUAAAAUCGUGGGGCUCAACCCCAUCCAGCCGUUGAAACUGGGGAUCUAGAGUGUGCGAGAGGUAUGCGGAAUGCGUGGUGUAGCGGUGAAAUGCAUAGAUAUCACGCAGAACCCCGAUUGCGAAGGCAGCAUACCGGUGCACAACUGACGGUCAGGCACGAAAGCGUGGGUAUCGAACAGGAUUAGAUACCCCUGUAGUC